GCGUCAAUGGGGUAAUGGUAACCCGAGUCGUUACAUUUGGGUAUUUCGAUACACGUUCUAUCGACUCGCUGGGGGCUCGACUCCCUCUUGAUGCA